rnacentral:rRNA from 1 species
UACGUAGGGCGCAAGCGUUGUCCGGAAUUAUUGGGCGUAAAGAGCUCGUAGGCGGUUUGUCGCGUCUGCUGUGAAAACCUAAGGCUCAACCUUGGGCUUGCAGUGGGUACGGGCAGACUAGAGUGCGGUAGGGGUGACUGGAAUUCCUGGUGUAGCGGUGGAAUGCGCAGAUAUCAGGAGGAACACCGAUGGCGAAGGCAGGUCACUGGGCCGCAACUGACGCUGAGGCAUGAAAGCGUGGGGAGCAAACAGG